rnacentral:misc_RNA from 1 species
AAGUCGUAACAAGGUUUCCGUAGGUGAACCUGCGGAAGGAUCAUUAUCGUGUUUUGUUCUUCUUCGGAAGAACACAAACGUAUUCACCCACUUGUGAACUGUUCUAAAAUCUAACCUUUUGGUCGUUGGGAAAAGAGCUUGGUCUCUUCUCUUGACUUCUAAAAGAGUAUUAUUUCAUUUUAACCAUUAUUCACCACUUGUAAUUUAUGUGCUAAACUAAAUCUUUUCUUUGAAAGCCUGUCUUUCAGAAAAGAAAGUACGAAAUUGCUGAACAACUCUUAGCAACGGAUAUCUUGGUUCUC